rnacentral:misc_RNA from 1 species
ACACCCUCAAGCGCUGCUUGGUGUUGGGUGUUUGUCUCGCCUCUGCGUGUAGACUCGCCUCAAAACAAUUGUCAGCCGGCGUAUUGAUUUCGGAGCGCAGUACAUCUCGCGCUUUGCACUCAUAACGACGACGUCCAAAAGUACAUUUUUACAC